GUUACGAAUGAAUAGUGAGCGGUCAGAUAAAAAAUGCAGAUUAUCGCUUGUCAUUCUGAAUCGGCUCCCUAUAAUGCGCCUCCAUCGACACGGAACAUGUGAACAACUUCACAGAGUAUCCGGGGGUCGCAGAGAAAAAAUCCUGAAAAUUAGGGUUGACUCUGAAAGAGGAAAGCGUAAUAUACGCCACCUCGAGUUAGCAAGCGAAAGCGCCUAACUCACUGCUCUUUAACAAUUUAUCAGAC
rnacentral:ncRNA from 1 species